rnacentral:rRNA from 1 species
CAUAGGUUAAUGAGGCGAACCGGGGGAACUGAAACAUCUAAGUACCCCGAGGAAAAGAAAUCAACCGAGAUUCCCCCAGUAGCGGCGAGCGAACGGGGAGGAGCCCAGAGCCUGAAUCAGUGUGUGUGUUAGUGGAAGCGUCUGGAAAGGCGCGCGAUACAGGGUGACAGCCCCGUACACAAAAAUGCACAUGCUGUGAGCUCGAUGAGUAGGGCGGGACACGUGGUAUCCUGUCUGAAUAUGGGGGGACCAUCCUCCAAGGCUAAAUACUCCUGACUGACCGAUAGUGAACCAGUACCGUGAGGGAAAGGCGAAAAGAACCCCGGCGAGGGGAGUGAAAAAGAACCUGAAACCGUGUACGUACAAGCAGUGGGAGCACGCUUAGGCGUGUGACUGCGUACCUUUUGUAUAAUGGGUCAGCGACUUAUAUUCUGUAGCAAGGUUAACCGAAUAGGGGAGCCGAAGGGAAACCGAGUCUUAACUGGGCGUUAAGUUGCAGGGUAUAGACCCGAAACCCGGUGAUCUAGCCAUGGGCAGGUUGAAGGUUGGGUAACACUAACUGGAGGACCGAACCGACUAAUGUUGAAAAAUUAGCGGAUGACUUGUGGCUGGGGGUGAAAGGCCAAUCAAACCGGGAGAUAGCUGGUUCUCCCCGAAAGCUAUUUAGGUAGCGCCUCGUGAAUUCAUCUCCGGGGGUAGAGCACUGUUUCGGCAAGGGGGUCAUCCCGACUUACCAACCCGAUGCAAACUGCGAAUACCGGAGAAUGUUAUCACGGGAGACACACGGCGGGUGCUAACGUCCGUCGUGAAGAGGGAAACAACCCAGACCGCCAGCUAAGGUCCCAAAGUCAUGGUUAAGUGGGAAACGAUGUGGGAAGGCCCAGACAGCCAGGAUGUUGGCUUAGAAGCAGCCAUCAUUUAAAGAAAGCGUAAUAGCUCACUGGUCGAGUCGGCCUGCGCGGAAGAUGUAACGGGGCUAAACCAUGCACCGAAGCUGCGGCAGCGACGCUUAUGCGUUGUUGGGUAGGGGAGCGUUCUGUAAGCCUGUGAAGGUGUGCUGUGAGGCAUGCUGGAGGUAUCAGAAGUGCGAAUGCUGACAUAAGUAACGAUAAAGCGGGUGAAAAGCCCGCUCGCCGGAAGACCAAGGGUUCCUGUCCAACGUUAAUCGGGGCAGGGUGAGUCGACCCCUAAGGCGAGGCCGAAAGGCGUAGUCGAUGGGAAACAGGUUAAUAUUCCUGUACUUGGUGUUACUGCGAAGGGGGGACGGAGAAGGCUAUGUUGGCCGGGCGACGGUUGUCCCGGUUUAAGCGUGUAGGCUGGUUUUCCAGGCAAAUCCGGAAAAUCAAGGCUGAGGCGUGAUGACGAGGCACUACGGUGCUGAAGCAACAAAUGCCCUGCUUCCAGGAAAAGCCUCUAAGCAUCAGGUAACAUCAAAUCGUACCCCAAACCGACACAGGUGGUCAGGUAGAGAAUACCAAGGCGCUUGAGAGAACUCGGGUGAAGGAACUAGGCAAAAUGGUGCCGUAACUUCGGGAGAAGGCACGCUGAUAUGUAGGUGAAGCGACUUGCUCGUGGAGCUGAAAUCAGUCGAAGAUACCAGCUGGCUGCAACUGUUUAUUAAAAACACAGCACUGUGCAAACACGAAAGUGGACGUAUACGGUGUGACGCCUGCCCGGUGCCGGAAGGUUAAUUGAUGGGGUCAGCGCAAGCGAAGCUCUUGAUCGAAGCCCCGGUAAACGGCGGCCGUAACUAUAACGGUCCUAAGGUAGCGAAAUUCCUUGUCGGGUAAGUUCCGACCUGCACGAAUGGCGUAAUGAUGGCCAGGCUGUCUCCACCCGAGACUCAGUGAAAUUGAACUCGCUGUGAAGAUGCAGUGUACCCGCGGCAAGACGGAAAGACCCCGUGAACCUUUACUAUAGCUUGACACUGAACAUUGAGCCUUGAUGUGUAGGAUAGGUGGGAGGCUUUGAAGUGUGGACGCCAGUCUGCAUGGAGCCGACCUUGAAAUACCACCCUUUAAUGUUUGAUGUUCUAACGUUGACCCGUAAUCCGGGUUGCGGACAGUGUCUGGUGGGUAGUUUGACUGGGGCGGUCUCCUCCUAAAGAGUAACGGAGGAGCACGAAGGUUGGCUAAUCCUGGUCGGACAUCAGGAGGUUAGUGCAAUGGCAUAAGCCAGCUUGACUGCGAGCGUGACGGCGCGAGCAGGUGCGAAAGCAGGUCAUAGUGAUCCGGUGGUUCUGAAUGGAAGGGCCAUCGCUCAACGGAUAAAAGGUACUCCGGGGAUAACAGGCUGAUACCGCCCAAGAGUUCAUAUCGACGGCGGUGUUUGGCACCUCGAUGUCGGCUCAUCACAUCCUGGGGCUGAAGUAGGUCCCAAGGGUAUGGCUGUUCGCCAUUUAAAGUGGUACGCGAGCUGGGUUUAGAACGUCGUGAGACAGUUCGGUCCCUAUCUGCCGUGGGCGCUGGAGAACUGAGGGGGGCUGCUCCUAGUACGAGAGGACCGGAGUGGACGCAUCACUGGUGUUCGGGUUGUCAUGCCAAUGGCACUGCCCGGUAGCUAAAUGCGGAAGAGAUAAGUGCUGAAAGCAUCUAAGCACGAAACUUGCCCCGAGAUGAGUUCUCCCUGACUCCUUGAGAGUCCUGAAGGAACGUUGAAGACGACGACGUUGAUAGGCCGGGUGUGUAAGCGCAGCGAUGCGUUGAGCUAACCGGUACUAAUGAACCGUGAGGCUUAACCUUACAACGCCGAAGCUGUU